CUUAAUAACCUGUGAAUUUUUCAGUUCUAAAGACACCUACAUAAAACUUUGGGAUUUAGAUACUCAACAUUGUUUUCAGACCAUUGUUGGAACUCGGCAUGAGAUUUUGGAUUUUGUGAUUAUUAAAGGUACAAGAUUAAUAACUGGAAUAAAUGGAGAACAUUUAAAUGUCUGGGAUUUGCUUCUCUCUGAGAAGGAGUCAUCAAAUUUAAAUAGAAGCAAAAGAAUUCGUCUUGAAGUCCCCAGUGAUGAAGAUGAUUCUGAGGCAGAUAAUUUGCGUAGAGAUGAAAGUGAAGAUAAAAAUGAAGAUGCCACUUAUGUUGAAGUUGGUAAACUUGCAACUCUUGGAAAUAAAACAACUUUUCUAUUUGUUGACAAGACAGAAAGACUUCUAGGUUGUCAUGCAUCAACUAAAGUUCUGCAGUUGUUUAAAAUAUUAAACAGUAAGGAAAGAGCAAAGAAGUUUCGUAAAAGGCAGAAAAAGGAAUUGAAAGAGCGAAG